UAUCUUUGUACCCGCUUAGGUGAUGUGAAGUGUGUUCAACACUCCACAUAAAAGGGAAUCCGGUGAGAAACCGGAACAGUGCCCGCUACUGUAAAGCCUUAAUUUUGUUUCAGAUAACGCGAAACAAAAAACGGGAAGUAUUCAUUGAAGAACUUCCAGAAACCACUGUCCAACAAAUGGGAAACCAAGGAUGGGAAGGUUACUUUCCGUAAAGGCUGAGUCAGGAAACCUGCCUGGGUAAUCACAUAAUU
rnacentral:ncRNA from 2 species